rnacentral:rRNA from 1 species
UACGUAGGGUGCGAGCGUUGUCCGGAAUUAUUGGGCGUAAAGAGCUUGUAGGCGGUCUGUCGCGUCUGCUGUGAAAACCCGGGGCUCAACCCCGGGCCUGCAUUCGAUACGGGCAGACUAGAGUUCGGUAGGGGAGUCUGGAAUUCCUGGUGUAGCGGUGAAAUGCGCAGAUAUCAGGAGGAACACCGGUGGCGAAGGCGGGACUCUGGGCCGAUACUGACGCUGAGGAGCGAAAGCGUGGGGAGCAAACAGG